CAGGGACCUGCAAGACCGGUUUGGAAACAGGAGUCAGAACGCUGCCGGCGCGCGUGCGGCUGUCCGGGGUCCUGGCAGGUGGAUUCUUUACUGCUGAGCCACUGAGGAAGCCCCAUUAUGAACAAGGGUAUACAAAUAUCUGUUUGAGUCCUUGCCUUCAGUAAACCUAGGAGUGGAAUUACUGGGAGCAGGGGAACACUGUUGCCCAACCUUCCUAGGAGAUGUGAUCUCACCAGCGAGGAUGCGGGCAAAGAGUGUGUCACUUCAGGUCUAAGGCAAUUAAAUGUCAGUGUGAAUGUCCACCCCCUUCUCCCCUCAUCGCAACCUUUCUCCCAUCUGAACAGUUGGGAUCAAAGAACUUUGAGAUGAUGGAGAUGCUGGUGGAAGCAGCUUGGAUCUGAGUCACUGUUGAAGGAGAAUAGUAUACCAACAUGGUCUACCCGGCACUGGAAAAUAAGGGAGACAUAAAUGUUUGUGUUUUAAGCCA